AACGUAGGAGGCGAGCGUUGUCCGGAUUUACUGGGCGUAAAGAGUGCGUAGGCGGCAUAGUAAGUCUCAUGUGAAAUCUCCUGGCUCAACCGGGAGGGGUCAUGGGAAACUGCUACGCUUGAGGGCAGUAGAGGAGAGCGGAAUUCCGGGAGUAGUGGUGAAAUGCGUAGAUACCCGGAGGAACACCCGUGGCGAAAGCGGCUCUCAGGACUGUACCUGACGCUGAGGCACGAAAGCGUGGGUAGCAAAUCGG
rnacentral:misc_RNA from 1 species